CAAUAGCGUAUACUAAAGUUGUUGCGAUUAAAAAGCUCGUAGUUGGAUCUCAGGCAUGGGCGCACGGUCCGCCUAGCGGCGGUCACUGUGUGUUUUGUUUCCCAUCCUACGCUUCCCGGUUAUCAGCCCAUGGUGCUCUUCACUGAGCGUUUUGGGUGGCCGGAACGUUUACUUUGAAGAAAUUAGAGUGUUCAAAGCAGGCACGUCGCCUGAAUAAUGGUGCAUGGAAUAAUGGAAUAGGACCUCGGUUCUAUUUUGCUGGUUUUCGGAACACGAGGUAAUGAUUAAGAGGGACAGACGGGGGCAUCCGUAUUGCGGUGUUAGAGGUGAAAUUCUUGGAUCAUCGCAAGACGAACAACUGCGAAAGCAUUUGCCAAGCAUGUUUUCAUUAG
rnacentral:rRNA from 1 species